rnacentral:rRNA from 1 species
GGGAACGUGCCUUUAGGUUCGGAAUAGCUCCUGGAAACGGGUGGUAAUGCCGMAUGUGCCCUUCGGGGGAAAGAUUUAUCGCCUUUAGAGCGGCCCGCGUCUGAUUAGCUUGUUGGUGGGGUAAUGGCCCACCAAGGCUACGAUCAGUAGCUGGUCUGAGAGGAUGACCAGCCACAUUGGGACUGAGACACGGCCCAAACUCCUACGGGAGGCAGCAGUGGGGAAUCUUGCGCAAUGGGCGAAAGCCUGACGCAKCCAUGCCGCGUGUAUGAUGAAGGUCUUAGGAUUGUAAAAUACUUUCACCGGUGAAGAUAAUGACUGUAGCCGGAGAAGAAGCCCCGGCUAACUUCGUGCCAGCAGCCGCGGUAAUACGAAGGGGGCUAGCGUUGCUCGGAAUUACUGGGCGUAAAGGGAGCGUAGGCGGACAUUUAAGUCAGAGGUGAAAUCCCGGAGCUUAACUUCGGAACUGCCUUUGAUACUGGGUGUCUUGAGUGUGAGAGAGGUAUGUGGAACUCCGAGUGUAGAGGUGAAAUUCGUAGAUAUUCGGAAGAACAMCAGUGGCGAANGCGACAUACUGGCUCAUUACUGACGCUGAGGCUCG